rnacentral:rRNA from 1 species
GACGAACGCUGGCGGCGUGCUUAACACAUGCAAGUCGAACGAAGUGGCGAACGGGUGAGUAACGCGUAAUCAACCUGCCCUUCAGAGGGGGACAACAGUUGGAAACGACUGCUAAUACCGCAUACUGAAGGAGGGGCUUUCGUCUGAUUGGCUAAUUGGAGGGGUAACGGCCCACCAAGGCGAGGAUCAGUAGCCGGUCUGAAAGGAUGAACGGCAACAUUGGGACUUGGACACGGCCCAGACUCCUACGGGAGGCAGCAGUGGGGAAGCUUGCGAAAUGGACGAAAGUCUGAAGGAGCAACGCCGCGUGAGUGAUGACGGCCUUCGGAUUGUAAAGCUCUGUUAAUCGGGACGCGGUACCGGAAUAGAAAGCCACGGCUAACUACGUGCCAGCAGCCGCGGUAAUUC